GGGUUGCUAUAUUAAUAAGAAAAAACAAGGGAAUAGAAGGGGAACUUAUCUACGAUGAUAAAAAAGGGAAAUGUAUAGGGGUGAGAAUUAAAUAUGGAAAUGAGGAAUUUAAUUUAAUCAACCUUCAUGCGCCGAAUGAAGAAAAAGAAAAGUCUUUGUUUUUUAAUGAUUUAAGAGAAUUGAUAGAAGGAUGGGGGAAAAUAAUAAUGGCAGGUGAUUUUAAUACGGUUUUUAGUAGGAGAGAUAUGGCGGACGGAAUGGUUUUUAAGUCAGACAAAGGGAGAAAAGAAUUAAGGGGUUUGAUGGAGGGGAAAAAUAUAAUAGAUGUAUGUGUAACGGUAUCAGGUGAUUGACAGCAGUGUCAUCCUAUCAGCAAGUAGUACCUUGCAUUUAAGUCUGAUUGGCUGUUACCUGGGAUGCGUCAUGUCCGAUUUCCCCGUUUGUUUUGCUAGCGUCGACGGUGGUUGUAGUGCAGCUUUGGUGCGGUGCCCUCCGUGCUGCUUAGUGGGUCUGAUGACUGUUCACCUCACAGGUAACGUUUAUUGUUAAGAGCUCGUGAUAUGGUGCUGAAAUGGCUGUGUGGGUUUAACAUUCUUUCGGAUAUCAAAUAGGCGUGAUUCCCUGUAUUCCCUUGUGUAACUGGUGGGCAUGACUGACCAAUCCGUGUUUAAGCGUGCUUUCUAGCGUGAUCUCCUGAUGGAUUCUCCUUCUCGUUCUAUGCCGUGAUUGUUGCUACUGUCUUCACACUAUUAAAGUGCUGCGGUUAAUACGGCCGCGUUGACGCGAUCAUCACUAAAGAGACGGGGACUGCUCGUUUGGUUCUUAUCGUGGCGUUAUAUUUGACCCUGGAUUGUGUGGGGGACUAUUUGGUUCCUUCCACUUGUAGGGGAGUUAGCUGCCCUUUGUGUCUUUGUUUGAUUUGAAACCUUUUUUUUGUUUAUUUUCUGUUAACUAACCUCUAAUUUUUGGAAGUAUAGUUUGUUUGGUUACCUUGAUUUUUAUUUCAUCUUUAUUUAUGUAAAGCCAAUUAAACGGCGUGUAAUAUUUAAUUAAGCCAUUUAAUUGCUUGGUUCAUGUGAUCAACCAUCUAUAAGUACAAUUUUAUUUGUGUGUGAACCUCUAUUGAGCUAAAAUUGUCUUGUAUUAUUUAGGUGACCAACUAAUUGAUGUUCCUGCGCUUGAAUGGUUUUUCUUUAUUUUCGUCAUUUACAUAUAUUGUUGUGAGGAUUUGCUUUAUUGAUGUCCAUCUGGUUAUUUUUUCUUUAUGAACAUUGUUAUAGUUUCUUAUCUUUAUUUUGCAGGCGCUGGGGUCCAACGGGUGGAUUGCUCUUCCUCCUCCUGGUGGUGGUCGUCCUUUAUCGUGUGCAGUGUACACUGUUGAGUGUGUGAUUGUGUGAUUAAGUGACACGGGGUGUGUGUGCGUGUAGAAGUGUUCCUGCCGUUGGGAGCCCCAGGCCUGCUGGUAUUUAUUUUCUGUUUUUGCAUGUUUUUCUUAUUGUUUAGUUUAAAGUGGGUUUCAGUGUCCAACAUUUUAAAGUGUUUUUCUAUUAAUAAACAUUUGUAUUUUUGUAUUA